rnacentral:lncRNA from 1 species
UGAUUCAAUUAACACUCACCGAUGUGCCCUUCUACCAAAUUGGGGCAUGAAAUUUUCUUCGUUUUGCCUAUUCUGUUGGAAUCAGGCGCCCACCUGGAGAGCAAGGGAGAACAACACGAGUGUCAAGGAUAGCAAGCAGUUCAAGUUCAAGCAAUCAGGCACCCACUUGGAGAAACAAGGGAAGACAGUUCAAAGGAAAAGCAGUGGCAAGAGGAAGUAGUUCAAGCUCAGCAAUCAGGAGCCCACCUGGAGAACAAAGGGAAAACAAAUCAAGUUCCGAGGAAAAGCAGUUAAAGUUUUGGCAAUCAGGAGUCCACCUGGAGAUCAAAGGGAAAAACAAUUCAAGUGUUGGUAAUCAGGAGUUCACCUGGAGAACAAAGGGAAAGCAAUUUAAGUGUUGGUAAUCAGGAGCUCACCUGGAGAACAAAAGAAAAGCAAUUUGAGUGUUGGUAAUCAGUAGCCCACCUGGAGAACAAAGGAAAAACAAUUCAAGUAUUGGUAAUCAGGAGCCCACCUGGAGAACAAAGGGAAAGCAAUUGGUAAUUAGGAGCCCACCUGGAGAAUAAAGGGAAAGCAAUUCGAGUGUUGGUAAUCAGGAUCCUACCUGGAGAACAAAGGGAAAGCAAUUCAAGUGUUGGUAAUCAGGAGCACAACUAGAGAACAAAGGGAGAGCGGUUCAAGUUUUGGAAAUCAGGCAUCCACCUGGAGAACAAAGGGAGAGCAAUUCAAGUGUUAAAAUUAGGAUCCCACCUGGAGAACAAAGGAAAACAGAUCAAGUCUCAAGGAAAAACAGUGCAAAUGUUGGUAAUCAGUCACCCACCUGGAGAACAAAGGAAAAACAAUUCAAGUUUCAGAGAAAAGGAAUACAAUUCAAGUUCAGCAAUCAGGCGCCCACAUGGAAAACAAAGGGAAAACGAGGCGAGUUUCGGAAGGAAAGGAAGAUAAUUCAAAGUUCAACAAUCAGGUGCCCGCCUGGAGAACAAAGGGAAAGCACCUUAGAAUACAAUUCAAGUCAGCACCAAAGGAAUUUCACUGGGAGAGUGCAAGUCAACGGAGCAGCAGAAAUUGCAAGAUCAAGUUUGAAGAUGUAUAGAUAGGAUUCUUUUAAUUCAUAAAUCAUAGUUUAGUCUAGCUUCUUUUAUUUUGUCUUGGUGUAAUAAGGGGUUCAGCAAGCAGUAGCAGCAGCAGCGAUAGUGAAAUCGCAACUUCCUAGUAGUCCCAGCUACCAAAACUUUCCGAACUACACUGACCUGAUUCCUUUAUAGCCAAGAAUAUGUAGGCAACCUCGAAAGUAGGGUGCGGUCAAAUCUUUCAAAAAUGCUUCCCGCGGAGUAUUCAAACGGGCAAAAAUCGCUCGUAUCCGCUCACUUUAUCUUCGCACGAAAACUCUUCGUGUUUCCGAGCAAAG